CUCCCAGCUGUGGAAUGCCAUAGAGCAGGUUCAACUCACCUGCUUUGCUAGGAAUACACCGUUUCCUCCUCUAGUGACAUGUUUCUGGUCAUCUCACCGGAGAUCAUCUGUCUUGCACAGAGAUAAUGAGCGAAAAGGAAUCCUAUUUCCCUUGGUUGUAUCCAGCUGCUGGCAAUUCAUCCCAGAACCAUCUCUCAUUGAAAGCUAUCCAUGGUCUAUACUUCAUCCUCAUCCCCUUAGCAGGACUUGCCAUAAUAGCGGCUCUUAUUGGUGUUGUGAUUUGUCACAUAAGAGGGAAACGGAGGCUUGAUGAACUGAGAUAUAAACUCAUUCCCAAAUAUGAGUAUGACCCAGGGGAACAGGAAGCCUUUGUGGAAGAGGAGGAUGACAAUGAUGAGGAAGAACAGCUAACAGAGCCACUCUGCAGUGACGGUGUUGGGCUGAAAGGGAAACUGGCUCUCAAACAGGACUGAUGGCAGACAGCAGAGCAGUGGCGGGCAGCUUGUAGCAGCCCCAGCCGUGUCAGUGGGCCUCACUGCAGAACAGUAAAGAGACCAGACAGAAGAGAGCUGUGGAAAUGGAAAUGGGUGAAUCUGUGUCAUUUCCACGUCACUAGAGGGCGCUCCUGUUAUUAUCAUCAAAUGACUUUCUGAUGCACUGUAGAGGAAACGCUAUAAUACUGUAGAUUUGUUGCAAUAUGUGGAGUUUGUUUGUUUGUGUGUGAUUACAUUAUAAAUGCAUUUUUUUACA